rnacentral:rRNA from 1 species
UACGAAGGGGGCUAGCGUUGCUCGGAAUCACUGGGCGUAAAGCGCACGUAGGCGGACUCUUAAGUCAGGGGUGAAAUCCUGGAGCUCAACUCCAGAACUGCCUUCGAUACUGGAAAGCUCGAGUCCGGGAGAGGUGAGUGGAACUGCGAGUGUAGAGGUGAAAUUCGUAGAUAUUCGCAAGAACACCAGUGGCGAAGGCGGCUCACUGGCCCGGUACUGACGCUGAGGUGCGAAAGCGUGGGGAGCAAACAGG